UGAUGUUGGUGAGGAGGAAGAUGAGGAAGAUGAUGGAGAAGGUGAUGAUGAUGAUGACGAUGAUGAGGCUGAAGGAGGAACAGGCAAACGGGCAGCUGAAGAUGAUGAUGAUGAGGAUGAUGUUGGAACUAAGAAGCAAAAAACAGAUGAUUAGAAGACAACCCUGCUGAAGCUCCUCCCAGAUCUCCUCUCCUCAAUCUGUCCAUUGGAGGAAAGAAUAAAAAAUAUAAUGUGGUCAUCAUCAAGUAGAGUCCAGCGUCCGUGUACACACACACACACCCAACUGCAAAUUUUCUAGAAACAACCAAGACUUCAAAGCUCUACCUUCUUACAAAAUACUUUAAAAGGAGAAUUUGUUUGUAUUUUUAUUUACAUUUUAUAUUUUUGUACAUAUUGUUAGGAGGUCAGCCAUUUUUGACAGUGAUCUCUGGUUACCAAACGGUGCUUUGAAGUUGAAGCUUCUCUAUGAAAUAGACUUUACUUGUGGUUUGACCAUGUCAUGUUAUCUCAACUGAAACUUGUAAAAAAAAAAAAAAUCAAAAACCGUUUAAUUCAAAGCAUUCCAGUAACUUUGUGUAUGUACUUUAGUUGUACCAUAAGUAGUUGGUUUGUAUGAGAUGGCAAAAGGCCAAAGAAAAGAGCAUUUUCUUUUCUUGAUUGUCUAUUAAAUUGCUGUCUGUUGUGGCCUGUUCGAUGUAUGUGUGAAGUUUGUUGUACGACAAUAAACCGGAAUUUUAUUUUGUGCGUUCUUACAUUUUUUUCCCGGAUUUUUUGUUUUCAUCUUUUUUUUUUGUUCACUUUUGACUUUUUUAGAUGGGAUUUUACACGCUGAAGAAACCUCGACCAUUUUACCAUGCAACUUUAUGGGCUCUUGUCAUUAUGAGAGGGCCCUUCACAGAUAUGCUGUUCACAUAUUUUAUUAGCCUGUUAGAGAGGAAUGUACACACCAAUGUAAAUUAUUCAUGCCUUAACACUUCAAGUUCUGGUA